CCUACGUGGGGCAGCAGUAGGGAAUUUUCGGCAAUGGGCGGAACCCUGACCGAGCAACGCCGCGUGAAGGAAGAAGGAAUUCGUUCUGUAAACUUCUGUUAUAAAGGAAGAAAGACGGAUGGAGGAAAUGACAUCCGAGUGACGGUACUUUAUGAGAAAGCCACGGCUAACUACGUGCCAGCAGCCGCGGUAAUACGUAGGUGGCAAGCGUUAUUCGGAAUUAUUGGGCGUAAAGGGGGGGCAGGCGGCAGCAAAGGUCUGUGGUGAAAGACUGAGGCUUAACUGCAGUAAGCCAUAGAAACGGGGAGGCUAGAGUGCAGGAGAGGAUCGUGGAAUUCCAGGUGUAGCGGUGAAAUGCGUAGAUAUAUGGAGGAACACCGGUGGCGAAGGCGGCGAUCUGGCCUGCAACUGACGCUCAGUCCCGAAAGCGUGGGGAGCAAAUAGGAUUAGAUACCCGUGUAGUC
rnacentral:rRNA from 1 species